rnacentral:snRNA from 1 species
CCGUUGAACUUACAUGGGAAAAA